CAGCCGCCGCGGGAAUACGUAGGGUGCGAGCGUUAAUCGGAAUUACUGGGCGUAAAGCGUGCGCAGGCGGUUGUGUAAGACAGGUGUGAAAUCCCCGGGCUUAACCUGGGAACUGCGCUUGUGACUGCACAGCUAGAGUAUGGCAGAGGGGGGUGGAAUUCCACGUGUAGCAGAGAAAUGCGUAGAGAUGUGGAGGAACACCGAUGGCGAAGGCAGCCCCCUGGGCCAAUACUGACGCUCAUGCACGAAAGCGUGGGGAGCAAACAGGAUUAGAUACCCGAGUAGUCCCUGUCUCUUAUAC
rnacentral:rRNA from 1 species